rnacentral:lncRNA from 1 species
CAUCACUUUAUAUUUAUUUAAUUCUAUUUAAAAAUACAUAAAAUUUUUAAAAAUUAAAAAAAUAAAAUACUAUUUUAAAAAAUAAUAUAUGAGAAAAAACAAUCCAAUAUUUGGAAACUAAAUUUUAUAAAUUUUCGACAUCAUUUGGCUGGUGAUCAAAAGGUCUCAAAAUUGACAGUUUUAAUGGUAGAUGUGAUGCAUUUGUGAAUUUAACGGUAUAAAAUAAUCCAAAUCUGAUCAAAUUUUUAUAGAAAAUUUUUUUCACUAUUUAGGGUAAGAUCAGCACCUCUGUUCUUAAAUUCAAGUCUUUUAUCAUUAUUUUUUAUGAAAUUUUUAUUUUCAACCGUUUAUUUUUCUACUACUCGUUUGAUAGGUAAAUGAUGUCGAAAAAUUAUAAAAUUUAGUUUCCAAAUACUUUCAAUAGUAUAGAUCAAGUUUAACGGAGCCGAUCGUCGAUUUGGAAACCGCAUCAUCGAAAACAAUUUGGUAGCACGAAAACCUCCGUGCUACCGAUAGUAUACCAACCUACCUAUAUAUAUAUAUAUAUAUAUAUACUACUUAUAAAAGCAUGAGUUUUGAAUUUUUUUUCUUUCCAAAAAUGCCUCUAUUUUUUUUACUAAUAUUGUCGUGUCCGAUAAUUCUCAACCAUCCAUUUUAAAUAAAUCUUUAAAUAAUAAUUUAUUCUCAAAUAUAGAUCUUAAGUUUUCACCAUUGGAUCUCAUCCAACAAAUAAAAAUAAAAGUAUCUGUCAUUUUUGUUGACAAAAAUACCCUCCAUAUCCGUUAUCUCCUAUCUACGCCGCGUUUCUCAAAUAUUUUUUUUCUAUCCAUAAAUAAUGUAAUACGUAAAACUAAAUUUAUCUCUUAUCUAACGUAAUACCCACCAAUCAUGUAAUACCUUCGCUAAUCACGUAAUACGUAAAAUUAAAUUUAUUUGCUAUCCACGUGUUUUCUCAAAUAUUUUUUCUUUUCAAACAUAAUACCUGUCAACACGUAGUAUUCAAAUGCCCAUAACGUAAUAUUCAAAAUUAAAUUUUAAAGUUAUAAUGCCCGCCAAAAUUUAAUACCCGCGAAUUUGAUAAUUUAAAUUUUAAUUCAUAAUAGUAGAUUUUUCCUCACAUAAGAUAGUAAAUUUAAUUUUAACGAGUAUUAAAAUUUGGCCCCCUAGGGUUGAAUGGGUGGUUGGUUGAAUAGUAUAAUCUAUCGGGUGGAAAUGAUUAAAGGAUAAAUCUAACGGCAACAAUUUAUGAGUACAAUAGGCUC